UAGUAUUCAAUUGUCAGAGGUGAAAUUCUUGGAUUUAUUGAAGACUAACUACUGCGAAAGCAUUUGCCAAGGAUGUUUUCAUUAAUCAAGAACGAAAGUUAGGGGAUCGAAGACGAUCAGAUACCGUCGUAGUCUUAACCAUAAACUAUGCCGACUAGGGAUCGGACGAUGUUAAUUUUUUAAUGACUCG
rnacentral:rRNA from 1 species